rnacentral:tRNA from 1 species
AGAAAAGUAAGCUAAUAUAAGCUAAUGGGUUCAUACCCCAUAAAUAGAGGUUAAUCCUCUCUUCUCUU